UUACUGCUUUGUGGGUUCCUAUGUGCAUGAUAUAUGUGUUGUUCAAUUAUACAGAUGAUAAAGAAAUUCUGUAGACCAGAAAGAGCUAAAGCAGAGUUUCAUAAAGUUUGUUUCCUGCAACCUGCUCUAGGAAAAUAAAUGGUAUUACCCAAAACUAUGUGCUAAAAAAGGAUAUCAUAGCUCUAUCUUAGACAAUCAUUAUAUGUAUACCAUAUUAACAGCUAUGAGAAGUCCUAUAAUUAAAAAGAGGAUGCUUACUUUGCUUAACAAAACCAUUUUUCAAAUAUAUAAUUUUAUAACAUACCCUGAAAAAUGUGAACUGACACA
rnacentral:lncRNA from 1 species